AUACCAGGGUGGUCGAUGGUAAACCAGCUGAACUUGGUACGUUUUAUGUCUUUCUUUCCGAUUAAUAAUAAGCCAUUUACUGCAAAGAAUGAACUUUAAAGGCAUUAAACAGCACAUCAAUGUACAUUUCAAUUAGACUAAAUAAUAAUGCUAUGAUUUUAUCGGUAGUAACUUUACUUAUUAACUUGAAUUAUUUCUUUCUUUUACUUCAUGUUAGGAAGAGUAUCUUUUUGCUUGAAAUAAAAAAUUGAUAUAGGAGUAAUAAUAUGGAUAGAGAUCAAAAACUGUUAGGGCAGAAAUUACACGUUUGAACUUUAUAGUUCAGUAUAGUUCAAAUAGAAAUUAUAUAGAAUUAUUUAAUAAUUUGUAUUCCACUGGAAUAAAAAUUUAAUUUCUGUCUUUAUCAAAUCUCUGUUUCAGAGUAUUUGUACGUAUGUACUUAUCGUCUGCUGUAUGAUCGAAUUUCGAAUAGGUAAUAAUCGUUGUUACUCGUUAUGUGAGAAAAAAUUAUGUAUAUUCACAACUAUGACUAUUGCAUUUUAGGCGCUUGGCCAUGAAUCGAUGCAUUAGGUUUUCGUAAUCCCCGAAAACCAGACAAACCACUAUGGAAGUGCGGAGGUUCCCUGAUAUCGGCUAGGCAUGUUUUGACCGCAGCACAUUGUGCACAUAUGGAUGGAAUAGAAAACAUACACAAUCAUAAUAUUGCCAUUCUUAGAUUGGUGGAGGAGGUGCCAUUUUCGAGGUACGUAUAUCCCAUUUGUACGAAAGAGCCCCUACGAAAGAGCAACUUCGUCGGCUAUAACCCCCUUGUUGCUGGAUCGGGAGCAUUAAGAUAUAGACGACCACGACGUAAUGCAUUAAUGGAAGUACAAAUGCCAGUGAUUAAGAACGCCGAAUGCAAAAUAGCUUAUUCCAAAUUUCCUAAUGCACCUGAUAUCACUGAUGGUAUAAUAUGCGCCGAACAUGCUCAGGGUGGAGAGGAUUCUUGUACGGUAAUUAAGUUACAGAGUUACUACAAACUAUACGGUAUCUGAAGACACGUCGAUUCGAAUUAACAUCAAAUCGACGUCUUAAACAUUAAAAAUAAUAGAUAAACACAAUUUAAUAGUUUUGCCCACUUCUCACACCUCGUUAUGGUAUUUAAUCUAAUUUCCUCUAAUCUUAGUUUUGCUCAAAAUACAUAUAACAUGUACGUUAUAAAUUGGAGUAUUUCAAUACACAAAUCAAUAGAAGAUUAUUACUGUAUAUAAGUAUAAUUUCAAUACAAUUCGAUCGAUAUAUUUCAGUAUCUUUGAUUAAAAAUUUAACGAUCCUUUCAGGCUGACCGCGGCGGAUCACUGCUGAUACAACAUGAAUUAACCUCGUAUUUAAUAGGUAUUGUGUCUUAUGCUUAUAAGUGCGGCACAGCUGGGUAUCCCAGCGUUUACACUAGGGUCACAUCGUACCUUGACUUCAUUCUCCAAGCGAUGCAAUAAUAUGAUAUUACUGUUCCAUAAAUAUCAUUGUGUAAAAAACGUAAAGUUGGAUUUUCUUAUUGUGGAGAUAAGAAACAGCUCAAAUUUACAUUGUUUUGUACGUUACAAAUUAUAGGCUUAAAAUGUACGAAAUGUAACUUUGAAACGACACUAAUUUUUUACGCACGAUAAACCUCCACAACUUAGGUAUGUAAAGAUGAUAAACGUAUAUUAAUUCUAUUAAUUUGGUAAUAAUAAACCAACUUUCUGAGAAGUUCUGUAAAUUUCGUUUCUUUUGUAUCAAGAGAAUAAUGGAAUAUUCCACUUAGAUCGUAUACUUCUUGUAUGUACGUACAAAAUUUUCCGGCUAAUCUAAAACACUUCAUAAGAUAGAGAGCUUCUGGAAAUUCGGACACAGAGAGUGCAUAAAAUACAAGAUAAGUCUCGUGUCUUUCAAAAUUAUUUUUUAUUCGCUAAAAACGUCCUGUGUACUCAUGCAAUCACAUGCAACCUCGAAACUUCACUUAUUUUUUAUCACUUUCCAAUUCAAUACACAGUUUCUGCAUUUUUGACUAUAUGUAAGAGAAAUUUCCAUUCAGCCAAAGGUGUACUUACAGAUUAUAGAUUCCUAUACGACUCUCAGUAAAAAUUUAUCCGCACUCCAGAUAGUUAAAACUUCUGUCGACCGUAUUGAUCCAUCUGCACUCUUCGUAUGACGUCAAUAUCUGUUCAGUGCUGCUGCGCAGGUUUCUUUGUGUUACGUCAAUUCGUUUGUGACCGUUGCGCGAGUAAUGGCGCUUUGCAAUGGUGAUUUGCAGGAAAACAGUGCAGGAUGCUGUGAUUCGUUUCUUGUGGUCGGAGGUUAUGUUUGAUGCCUAUAUUUAUCAAAGAUUUAAUGCACAUUAUGGAGAAAGUGUUUUGUCACGAAGUGUGUUUGAAUGGGCACAAAAGUUCAAAGAAGAUCGCACGAGUGUUAUGAAAAAACAGCUGGACGCCCGUCCACAUCCACGAUGACAACAUUGAACGUGCUCAUGAACUUAUGCUCUAUGGAAUAGACGAGUGACACUGGAUAAUGUGGCAAAUCAUUUGCAAAUCAGCCACGGCUCUGCUUAUGCAAUAGUGCACGACAGAUUUGGAUUUUAAAAAGUUUGUGCGAGAUGGAUGCCGAAAAAGCUGAUGAAAAGGUGAAGACGACGAUGCAUUCGUGGUUCGCAGCUCAGCCCAAAACAUUUUUUAAUGAGAAAAUACAAAGGUCCUUCGGCAAAUGGACAAAGUGUAUACAGAAAUCGAGUGAUUAUGUCAAAAAAUGAUGUAUGUCUUUUUUGACAAUUGCUUAAAAUAAAUUCUACACCGACAGAGCGGGCUGUUAAUCUAGAGGCUGGAGUACAAAGAAGUGGCACAAUGAUGUGGGCUGAUGACAUUUAUAAUUAUCAAGGAAUCACCCCUACAUUCGCUCAGAAUUUUAAUGAAACUGUCCCUUGGGAAGGAAGAACUGAUACCUUGAUAUCACGGUUUGUACAUCCUAUAUAUACGACAAAUUUUAGAACAUUAUAUAACGAAGAACCAGAUCGUCGUGGCCAUGUGAUGUGAAUAAAAGGACUUGAAUUUGAUGAUAUUUUUAUAAUGUUAGAUAACAUAACUAAGUAUCUUCACAGUAAGAUAGGAUGACAUGGUUUACAUGAUCUUAAUGU